CUGGAGACAGGUGCUGCAUGGCUGUCGUCAGCUCGUGUCGUGAGAUGUUGGGUUAAGUCCCGCAACGAGCGCAACCCUUGCCUUUAGUUGCCAGCAGUUCGGCUGGGCACUCUAAAGGGACUGCCGGUGUUAAACCGGAGGAAGUGGGGAUGACGUCAAGUCCUCAUGGCCUUUAUGACCAGGGCUACACACGUACUACAAUGGCCGAUACAAAGGGCAGCGACACUGCGAGGUGAAGCCAAUCCCGUAAAAUCGGUCUCAGUCCGGAUUGGAGUCUGCAACUCGACUCCAUGAAGUUGGAAUCGCUAGUAAUCGUGGAUCAGCAUGCCACGGUGAAUACGUUCCCGGGCCUU
rnacentral:rRNA from 1 species